rnacentral:rRNA from 1 species
CGUAGGUCCGAGCGUUGUCCGGAAUUAUUGGGCGUAAAGGGCUCGUAGGCGGUUCGUCGCGUCGGGAGUGAAAACUCGGAGCUUAACUCCGAGCCUGCUUCCGAUACGGGCAGACUAGAGGUAGGCAGGGGAGAGCGGAACUCCUGGUGUAGCGGUGGAAUGCGCAGAUAUCAGGAAGAACACCGGUGGCGAAGGCGGCUCUCUGGGCCUUACCUGACGCUGAGGAGCGAAAGCGUGGGUAGCGAACAGGAUUAGAUACCCUGGUAGUCCACGCCGUAAACGUUGGGCGCUAGGUGUGGGGGACAUUCCACGUCCUCCGUGCCGCAGCUAACGCAUUAAGCGCCCCGCCUGGGGAGUACGGCCGCAAGGCUA